rnacentral:rRNA from 1 species
UACGAAGGGUGCAAGCGUUACUCGGAAUUACUGGGCGUAAAGCGUGCGUAGGUGGUUUUUAAGUCCGUUGUGAAAGCCCUGGGCUCAACCUGGGAAUGGCAGUGGAUACUGGAAGCUAGAGUGCGGUAGAGGGUAGUGGAAUUCCGGUGUAGCAGUGAAAUGCGUAGAGAUCGGAGGAACACCAGUGGCGAAGGCGGCUACCUGGACCAGCACUGACACUGAGGCACGAAGCGUGGGAGCA